CGCUCGUUUAUCUUCUGCGGGACUCGCUCCAGCAGACCCACCGGGAUAUACCUACAACACACAGCGUGAGGUACAGCGUGAGGUAAAGAGAGUGAGGUACAGCGUGAGGUACAGUGUGAGGUAUAGUGUGAGGUAAAGAGAGUGAGGUACAGCGUGAGGUACAGUGUGAGGUACAGCGUGAGGUAUAGAGUGAGGUACAGUGUGAGGCAUAGAGUGAGGUACAGUGUGAGGUACAGCGUGAGGUAUAGAGUGAGGUACAGUGUGAGGUACAGCGUGAGGUAUAGUGUGAGGUACAGUGUGAGGUACAGCGUGAGGUAUAGAGUGAGGUACAGUGUGAGGUAUAGUGUGAAGUACAGUGUGAGGUACAGCGUGAGGUAUAGAGUGAGGUAUAGUGUGAGGUACAGCGUGAGGUACAGCGUGAGGUACAGUGUGAGGUGUA